rnacentral:rRNA from 1 species
GGUGAACGCUGGCGGCGUGCCUAACACAUGCAAGUCGAGCGGUGCAGUUUGAAGCUUCGGUGGAAAGCUGCAUAGCGGCGGACGGGUGAGGAAAACGUAGGAACGUGCCCCUUGGAGUUGGAUAGCCACGGGAAACUGUGGGUAAACCGACAUAGACUCGAGAGAGUAAAGGCCGAAAGGCGCCAAGGGAGCGGCCUGCGGCCCAUCAGGUAGUUGGUAGUGUAAAGGACUACCAAGCCGACGACGGGUAGCCGGUCUGAGAGGAUGGCCGGCCACAAGGGCACUGAGAGACGGGCCCUACUCCUACGGGAGGCAGCAGUGGGGGAUUUGGACAAUGGGCGAAAGCCUGAUCCAGCGACGCCGCGUGGAGGACGAAGCCCUUCGGGGUGUAAACGUCCUUUUCUCAGGGAAAAAGGAUGAUGGUACCUGAGGAAUAAGCCCCGGCUAACUACGUG